rnacentral:rRNA from 1 species
CCAGACUCCUACGGGAGGCAGCAGUGGGGAAUAUUGCACAAUGGGGGAAACCCUGAUGCAGCGACGCCGCGUGAGUGAAGAAGUAUUUCGGUAUGUAAAGCUCUAUCAGCAGGGAGGAAAAUGACGGUACCUGAUUAAGAAGCCCCGGCUAACUACGUGCCAGCAGCCGCGGUAAUACGUAGGGGGCAAGCGUUAUCCGGAUUUACUGGGUGUAAAGGGAGCGUAGACGGCAGCGCAAGUCUGAAGUGAAAUGCCGGGGCUUAACCCCGUCGAGCCGUUGAAACUGGCAGACUUGAGUUGGCGAGAAGUACGCGGAAUGCGCGGUGUAGCGGUGAAAUGCAUAGAUAUCGCGCAGAACUCCGAUUGCGAAGGCAGCGUACCGGUGCCAGACUGACGCUGAGGCACGAAAGCGUGGGGAUCGAGCAGGAUUAGAUACCCCAGUA